rnacentral:lncRNA from 1 species
GCUCCCAGGUGGACCAGCGUCCAACGAGAGCGAGAGCUGGAGUCAGGGGGUCCGGAGGUUCAGGGCGGCCUGCGUCCGAGGGACGAGACUAGGGUCUGAGGUCCCGGGGUCCGAGUGGCCUGCGUCCGAGGAGCGAGGCUGGGGUCUGGGGUCCGGGGUUCAGGCGGCCUGCGUCCGAGGAGCGAGACUGGGGUCCGGGUCAGAGAUCCAGGUGGCCUGCGUCUGAGGGGCGAGGCUGGGGUCCGGAGUCCGGGCGGCCUGCGUCCGCGGGGCAAGGCUGGGGUCCGGGUCCGGGAGGCCUGCGUCCGCGGGGCGAGGCCGGGGUCCGGCUCCGGGAGGCCCGCGUCCGAGGGGCGAGGCCGGGGUCCGGGGUCCGGCUCCGGGUGGCCUGCGUCCGAGGGGCGAGGCGCGAGGCCGGGGUCCGGCUCCGGGUGCCUGCGUCUGAGGGCGAGGC